AUCUCUACCAGGGUGAGCUACGAGAUAUGCAAUAAGACUUCAGUCGUCGUCCAGGUUGGUUUCUGAUGGACACAAACUCAGCACAAGUCAGGAGAGGGCCCUUGCCUUCUUUGGUUAAGCAAUCAGUUCCUACCUAGAAGAGGUGACAAUAUAUUUAGGGCUUCCAAACACCAGGAAUCCCUACCUCAUCCAAAACCUGAACAAUAUAGAAGAACAUAGCAGGGAUACACACCAACUAAGCACGGUAUGCAGUACUUAUGCUCAGUAAAAGAUGUAUGAAACAAGUCAAGCAUUUAGUGGUACUUCCUUUAACUAGUGGCCUCCUCAAUCAAAUAAUUUAUGUAAAUCCUUUUGUUUCAUAUCCUUUCAUAGAUUUUGUUUCCAAGGUACCUUAUCACUGAAAUCCAGAGAGAAGAAAUGGUGGUGCCAAUAGAUAAAUAGACAGAAAUUAAAAGGAAAGAACAAGUAAAGUAAGGGAAUGUAAAGGAAAGUAAGGUAAGGAA